GAGAGAGGGAGAGAGAUGUUUCCUGUUGGCUCUCGCCACAUGUUUAGACGCCUUGUUUCGCAGUCUGAUGGCCCUUUUACGUUCUCGGGUCACUCAAUAGCUCAACCCACCAAUCUUUCACAAGCUCUGUGGUGUGUACGUGGCCAUUUUCUCAACGCGGGAAAGAUUAAGAAGGAAGUAGCUGCAGAUAAAGAAAGAGCACACUCUGCAUCAUUACUCCCCUUCAGGAAAGGAAGAUAAUAAUCAGUUUCAUGUAUGUGGGUACCUUACAGCUCAACCACAUGGGCCAAGUAGUCCCACACCUUGCACUAACCCCCUCAUCCACCUCAAACACGCGUACGCCACAUCAGGAUACAGUGCUGCACAUGAA